UACGUAGGGUGCAAGCGUUGUCCGGAAUUAUUGGACGUAAAGAGCUCGUAGGCGGUUUGUCGCGUCUGCUGUGAAAUCUGGGGGCUCAACCCCCAGCCUGCAGUGGGUACGGGCAGACUAGAGUGCGGUAGGGGAGAUUGGAAUUCCUGGUGUAGCGGUGAAAUGCGCAGAUAUCAGGAGGAACACCGGUGGCGAAGGCGGAUCUCUGGGCCGUAACUGACGCUGAGGAGCGAAAGCAUGGGGAGCGAACAGG
rnacentral:rRNA from 1 species